GCUGCGCCUGGCUCUCUUCUCUCUCGGCGUGAAGUCCGUGCCCAGCCCUGCCAGGCACGGCUUCCAAUUAGAGAAGCGAGGCUGUGACCACGGGGCGGCGCCCAGCCAGCACCCACCUGGCCCCCUCCCUGCUAAUCAGUGCCUAAUUGAUGCAGGGUGGGGGGCUUGCUCGGCGGCGCUCCCCAUGCUUCCGUGGGCCCAGCUGCCGCUCCUAGGAAGGGGCUCAGCCCUUUGUCCCGGCAAGUUUGAAACCAUCUGGACAGAAGUUGGCAGCCCCGUGUUCGCAGCAUUCUGGACUUUCGUCACGCCCCCAGGCAGAUUGCUAGGAGAGCAAGGCAGACAGAGGCCAGCAGCCACCAGGUGGCCAGCACAGUCCUCCUGAAUGAACGGAACUGUGGCCCUGGAUACACACGAGCGUGCAGCCAAGUCACAGCCAAGGUUGCAGCGGAUGUUAAAGGGGCACCGUGGUGAAGGUCCUCAUGGUAAUGGAAGCCACGGGCAGGCACGAUCGUCUUUGUCAACAAACAAAUCCACAGAAACUGAGCCAUAAAGAACUCCCCGGAAAUCUGCAAGUGGUGCAAGUCCAAGGGCUGUGUACUGGAGGAGCUCACUGUUCCCUGGGGGACACGCAGAGUGACACGCGAGCACAGAAUAAAGAGGAGCAAUUGAAGAUGUUGAAUCAGAGUGUGAUGAACUCCCGAUAUGCUUCAGGUGUGGGGUGUCGAACGCAGUGGGGAGGGCAAGAGUGGAUUUGGGGAAGCCGGUGUGGAGCAACUAUAAUAGUCCAGGAGAGAAGUCGUGGCGCCUGAAUGGGUAGGGGAGGCAGUGGGAAUAGAGGGGUGCUCAGAAAGUGGAAUGGGAAGAACUUUACAACUAAUUGGCUGUGGGGUGCAAGAGAGGACUCUAGAAUGACCUCAAGGUUUCUGCCUCAGGCAAUGAGGGGAUGAUGGUACCAUUCAUAAAGUGAAAAAGGUCACAGGGAGCAGAUGUGGGCUCCAGCCCUCCCCUAGAUCCUUAGAUUUUAUCAUUGUUGUUGUUGUUGUUGUUGUUUUAGUGAACAAUCAUGAGCACUCCUAUAGCCAAGCAGAUGCUAAGUGACUUACCUGCUUUAUGUGAUGAUAUUCUCACAAUAAACCCCUCGAGGAGACAACUAUUCUCCCCGUUCUGCAGAUGGUGCUACUGAGGCUCAAGAAAGUUCAAUGAUUUGCUUACACUUACAUAGUGGCAAAUGAAGGAGCCAGGAUGCCAGGCCAGGAUUGUAACAAUGGUAUUCUAUCAGCUGCCCAGAUGGUAACACCUUCCUAGGGGUGUGAGGCUCUGUGGGGCUGCCUCCGUUCUCUGCUUCAUGUUCAAGAGUGGCGCUUGCUCUCCCUCCCCAUGGCUUUGGAGUCCUGUAG